GGGGGUGACCGGUUUUGACAGCAGGCAGAGUUUGAUUGUAAGCACGUCGAGAAUUGUGUGGGCUCUCGUAAAUCGGAACACUCGAACUACAAAUGGCAAUAACAGCUAUGCACUCGCUGCCUAAUUUUCAGGGAAAAUUGGCUUAAUCGCCGGGUUCAAGGCAAUUCGGCGACGAGUAUCCCGAACUUUCGUUCCGCUCUUUAACGAUUGUUCAUACGGGGUAUCAUUCAUUUAGAGAUAGUGCGGUAUGCGCCUCGGUUACCGUGCGAAAUCAAGGGGCUGGGAUUCGGGUUCGGCUGUCGGCUGCCUGGCUCGGAUAGAAGGAUUAAAGACGACUAAACGUGUAGAAACCUUUCGGAUUCCUUGUUUGGACGCGGGUUCGACUCCCGCCACCUCCAC
rnacentral:tmRNA from 1 species